AGUCAUCUUCAUACUUUGGCUGCAGUUGCACAAACAAACCAGAACCAGCUCCAUCUUUUGUCGAGAGCACUGCUCUCAGGCUUAUAACAGCAUUAGGUAGCUCAGAGGUACAACCGCAGUUUACACGCUUCCUUAGUGAUCCCAAAACAGUGCUCUCAGCAGAAUCUGAAGAACUGAACCGAGCCUUGAUAUUGACCUUGGCUAGAGCAACUCAUGUAACAAAAAUAACAUCUGAAAAUUCUUGAACUUAAAAUCAUGCUUAAAUGGUUGAUUCUCCAAUUUCUUUUUUUAAAAAUAAGUUAAUUGCUUUUGCAGGUUGACACUCUCACCUGACAGAUGAUGUAAUUCUUCAAUUUUUAUAAUCUUAAAAUUUUUAAAUUUUAUAUUUGUAAAUACAGUACACAUUUUAUUUCUUGGAUUUUGAGAGACAUUGUUAAUUUUGGGGGAAUUGGCAUUGCGAAAGACUUGAAAACUAAUGAGUAAAGUCUGCUGAAUGAAUAAACC
rnacentral:lncRNA from 1 species